rfam:Aquitalea magnusonii strain SM6 contig_79, whole genome shotgun sequence.
GGCCGGGUAGCGCGCAGCUAUACAAGACCCUUCGGGGGAAAUCUGCGGGCGGCCCUACGACCGUGUUCAAGUACCCGGCCGCCUCUCU